GCUUACGGCCACACCGUGGUUCACGCUUGAUCUCGGAAGCUAAGAUAGGUUGGGCCUGGUUAGUACUUGGAUGGGAGACCGCCUGGGAAUACCAGGUGCUGUAAGCC
rnacentral:rRNA from 1 species